rnacentral:rRNA from 1 species
GAUCUACCUUCGAGUGGGGGAUAACGUUCCGAAAGGAACGCUAAUACCGCAUGACGUUCUGGGUUUGAAGACCUAGAAACCAAAGCCGGGGACCGCAAGGCCUGGCGCUUGGAGAGGAGCCCGCGUCCGAUUAGCUAGUUGGCGUGGUAACGGCCCACCAAGGCGACGAUCGGUAGCCGGCCUGAGAGGGCGGACGGCCACACUGGAACUGAGACACGGUCCAGACUCCUACGGGAGGCAGCAGUGGGGAAUUGUUCACAAUGGGCGCAAGCCUGAUGACGCAACUCCGCGUGGGG